AAUGGGGAAUAAUUCUCAAAGAUACAUGGAAGAAAACAAACAACUAGGGGAGAAUAAUGCCGUAGCCAUAAGAGAAGUUAAUUAAGUCGACGGCCUCAAGCUGGUCGCUUGUUACUUUGAAGCUUGUCGAGCUGGCUCGAUAUUUGGCCAAUUUGGCUAAACUCUUUGAGGUAUGCAGUUGGAUGCUUGGAUGGAUGUCUUAUAAAUAUUAUAUGGGUUUUGAUUUGAUUCUGUACAAUAUAUAUUU
rnacentral:lncRNA from 1 species